rnacentral:rRNA from 1 species
UACAUAGGUGGCAAGCGUUGUCCGGAUUUAUUGGGCGUAAAGCGCGCGCAGGCGGUCUUUUAAGUCUGAUGUGAAAUCUCGCGGCUCAACCGUGAGCGGUCAUUGGAAACUGGAAGACUUGAGUACAGAAGAGGAGAGUGGAAUUCCACGUGUAGCGGUGAAAUGCGUAGAUAUGUGUAGGAACACCAGUGGCGAAGGCGACUCUCUGGUCUGUAACUGACGCUGAGGCGCGAAAGCGUGGGGAGCGAACAGG